AAUUGUAUUUCACAUAGAAAUAGAAGACGGUCCACACUCUGUUAUCUUUACGUAGCUAAUGGUUAGUACUUUCUCCUGCAUUGUUUAUUGUGUCUAACAUGAUAGGCGUGGAGGAUUCUAGGAAGCUCCAUUGGUGAACAAUAACGGAGGCAAGAAGAAGAUAUGUUUGACCUAUAGCGCCAGCCUACCGACUGAGACAGUUGAUACAGUGGCACGGUACUUUGAGGAGAUGAACACCGUCGGUGAUCCUCAAAGAAUGAUACCAGGCACGGGAAGUACAUCACAGUCGUAUAUAGCCGGACCAUUACUAUUAAGGACGACUAACAGACUGCCCGGUCUUGGAGGAUGCGUGAUGAACAGGCCACAGACCCGGAGGUAUGCGUGUGUGAUGCCAGAGGCAAUUCUCGCGAUCAGCGGUAGAGACGCCGACACACUGAAGAGCUUUCCUAUCUACCUCAGUCUACGUGAGAAGGGGCAGUUUGCCGCUAUUUCCCGCGUUCUGCCCGGUGAAAUCCAUAAUACACCUUUAAACGAGAAGUUGCCACUGCCAAGUAUAUAUAUUAGGAAGUAGCGAUGACGUGUUUUCGUCUCCUUAGGUGAUGAGGCUGAGUGAAUGCUCAAGGUUCUUAUGGAUUAGCGUGCUGACCCAGCACUGUAUUCCACCCCGUCACAGCAGGCUUGUCCUCCCUACUGAGGACACGAUUUCAAUAAAACUCGUAC